UGUAGUCAUAUGCUUGUCUCAAAGAUUAGGCCAUGCAUGUCUAAGUAUAAAUAACUACACAGUAAAACUGCGAAUGGCUCAUUAAAACAGUUAUAGUUUAUUUGAUACAUUAAAUGGAUAACUGUAGAAAAACUAGAGCUAAUACAUGCCAAAACCGCAAGGUUGUAUUUAUUAGAUAUACCAAUUAGGUGAAUCAUAAUAACUUCGCAAAUCGCAGCUCGUCUGCGAUAAAUCAUUCAAGUUUCUGCCCUAUCAUGCUUUCGAUGGUAGUGUAUUGGACUACCAUGGCUCUCACGGGUAACGGGGAAUUAGGGUUCGAUUCCGGAGAAGGAGCCUGAGAAACGGCUACUACAUCUAGGGAAGGCAGCAGGCGCGUAAAUUACCCAAUCCUGACUCAGGGAGGUAGUGACAAGAUAUAACGACGCGACUAAAAAUCGCGAUUGUAGUGAGGGUAUUCUAAACCGAACCACUAGUACGAUUGGAGGGCAAGUCUGGUAAUCG
rnacentral:rRNA from 1 species